AGAGUUUGAUCAUGGCUCAGAACGAACGCUGGCGGCAUGCCUAACACAUGCAAGUCGAACGCUUCGUGGGUUUCGGCCUACGGGGAGUGGCGCACGGGUGAGUAGCGCGUGGGAACCUGCCUUUCAGUGGGGGAUAACCGAGGGAAACUUCGGCUAAUACCGCAUGCGCCCCGGGAGUGAUCCCGGGGGAAAGAUUUAUCGCUGAGAGAGGGGCCCGCGUCGGAUUAGGUAGUUGGCGGGGUAACGGCCCACCAAGCCAUCGAUCCGUAGCUGGUCUGAGAGGAUGAUCAGCCACACUGGGACUGAGACACGGCCCAGACUCCUACGGGAGGCAGCAGUGGGGAAUAUUGGACAAUGGGCGCAAGCCUGAUCCAGCAAUGCCGCGUGAGUGAUGAAGGCCUUAGGGUUGUAAAGCUCUUUCGGCGGGGACGAUGAUGACGGUACCCGCAGAAGAAGCCCCGGCUAACUUCGUGCCAGCAGCCGCGGUAAUACGAAGGGGGCGAGCGUUGUUCGGAAUAACUGGGCGUAAAGGGCGCGCAGGCGGUUCUGUCAGUUGCGUGUGAAAGCCCCGGGCUCAACCUGGGAAAGGCGCGCAGGACGGCGGGACUGGAGGUCGGGAGAGGAGCGUGGAAUUCCCAGUGUAGAGGUGAAAUUCGUAGAUAUUGGGAAGAACACCGGUGGCGAAGGCGGCGCUCUGGACCGAUACUGACGCUGAGGCGCGAAAGCGUGGGGAGCAAACAGGAUUAGAUACCCCGGUAGUCC
rnacentral:rRNA from 1 species